CAUCGUAUUGCACAGGACUUUCGCGAGCUACCGAUACCAUUUUCGUGCCCCAAAUUCCAUGAAAUCUUCCGAAAAUAAACAUGAAAGUGUCGAAUACCAGAUGCCAUCAUGAAUAACCUCACCACCAGUUUUGGCGGUUCCCCCCUAAAAUUUUUGGCUUCCGCCGCCAAUGCCAGGAAUGAUGAUGUUCAACUGAGAGUCGCUGAAGUG